rnacentral:rRNA from 1 species
ACUACGGGAGGCUGCAGUGAGGAAUAUUGGUCAAUGGGCGUAAGCCUGAACCAGCCAAGUCGCGUGAGGGAUGAAGGUUCUAUGGAUCGUAAACCUCUUUUAUAAGGGAAUAAAGUGUGGGACGUGUCCUAUUUUGUAUGUACCUUAUGAAUAAGCAUCGGCUAACUCCGUGCCAGCAGCCGCGGUAAUACGGAGGAUCCGAGCGUUAUCCGGAUUUAUUGGGUUUAAAGGGUGCGUAGGCGGCCUUUUAAGUCAGCGGUGAAAGUCUGUGGCUCAACCAUCUAAGUGCCGUUGAAACUGGGGGGCUUGAGUAUGUUUGAGGCAGGCGGAAUGCGUGGUGUAGCGGUGAAAUGCGUAGAUAUCACGCAGAACCCCGAUUGCGAAGGCAGCCUGCC